AGAGAGAGAGAGAGAGAGAGAGAGAGAGAGAGAGAGAGAGAGAGAGAGAGAGAGAGAGGAAGGGAGGGGGAAGAGACAAGCCAGCGGAGGGAGCAGAGACAAAGCUUGCUGACGGAGGAAGUGAAGUGUGCUCUGCAGCAUGUGGACCAUGUGCUCAGCAGAUAACUGCCGAGUGUCGAGCCCACGGAAGGUGUUUGCAACCAUGGGCUCUCUGCUGCACAGCUGUCGGUGUUUGGAGCAGCAAGGAGCGGAGGAAAGAGCCUCGACCCUGGAGACAGACAACCACAAAAACCUGUCCAUCAGAACCUGAAAUCGUCAAGAUGACAUGGUGGAGACAUCCUUCUACAGGUAAUUGGUCUUUUUCUAGCUGUUAUACAGAGUUUAUGGAGGAUUACAUUUUCCUGUUUGUCCAGGCCCUCCGAUGUAGGCUUUCAAAUGAAACCUCUUGACUUUUUCCACGUUUCGUUACAGCCUAAAAUUCUAAAAUUGAUUAAAAUGGUUUUUUUCCCCCCUCAUC